rnacentral:rRNA from 1 species
GUUGAUCCUGCCAGUAGUCAUAUGCUUGUCUCAAAGAUUAAGCCAUGCAUGUCUUAGUAUAAGCUUCAAUUUUGUGAAACUGCAAAUGGCUCAUUAAAACAGUCACAAUGCAUUUGGCGAUCAAUUCUAAAUGGAUAUCUGUGGAAAUUCUAUAGUUAAUACAUGCACUAAAACUUAUCUUUGGGGAAAGGUUGUGGUCGUUAGUUACAGAACCAAUUCAAGCUAUGCUUGGACACUUGAAUGAUUCACAAUGACAAAUGAAUUACAUGGCAACAGCUGGUGAUAAUUCAUUCCAGUUUCUGACCUAUCAGCUUUCGACGGUAAGGUAUUGGCUUACCGUGGCAAUGACAGGUGACGGAGGAUUAGGGUUUGAUUCCGGAGAGGGAGCUUGAGAAAUGGCUACCACAUCUAAGGAAGGCAGCAGGCGCGCAAAUUACCCAAUCCUGGCACAGGGAGGUAGUGCCAAGAAAUAACAAUACAAGGCAUCCAUGUCUUGUACUUGGAAUGAAUGGAUUUUAAACCUUUCUAUAAGUAUCAAUUGGAGGGCAAGUCUGGUGCCAGCAGCCGCGGUAAUUCCAGCUCCAAUAGCGUAUAUUAAAGUUGUUGCGGUUAAAAAGCUCGUAGUUGGAUUUCUGCUGAGGAUGGCUGGUCCGCCCUCUGGGUGAGUAUUUGGCACAGCCUGAGCAUUUAUCUUGAAAGUACAACUGCACUUGACUGUGUGGUGUGUUAUUGAGAACAUUUACUUUGAGGAAAUCAGAGUGUUUCAAGCAGGUGUUUGGCCUUGAAUACAUUAGCAUGGAAUAAUAAUC